GACGGAAGGUGCAAGCGUUGCUCGGAAUCACUGGGCGUAAAGGGUGCGUAGGCGGCCGUGCAAGUCUGGCGUGAAAGCCCCGGGCUCAGCCCGGGAAGUGCGCUCGAAACUGCGCGGCUCGAGUGCCGGAGGGGAGAGUGGAAUUCCUGGUGUAGCGGUGAAAUGCGUAGAUAUCAGGAGGAACACCGGUGGCGAAGGCGGGUCUCUGGGCCGUAACUGACGCUGAGGAGCGAAAGCGUGGUGAGCGAACAGG
rnacentral:rRNA from 1 species